GAGGUGAUAAGACAAGUUGGUUAGUCUACCUGGUUGAAAGCCCCAAGCAACGUAGGUUCGAUCCCUGCUCACCUCA
rnacentral:tRNA from 1 species